rnacentral:rRNA from 1 species
UACGUAGGGGGCAAGCGUUGUCCGGAAUUAUUGGGCGUAAAGAGCGUGUAGGCGGUCCGUUAAGUCAGAUGUGAAAGUCAAGGGCUCAACCCUUGAAUGCCGGUUGAUACUGUCGGGCUAGAGUCCGGAAGAGGCGAGUGGAAUUCCCGAUGUAGCGGUGAAAUGCGCAGAUAUCGGGAGGAACACCAAUGGCGAAGGCAGCUCGCUGGGACGGUACUGACGCUGAGACGCGAAAGCGUGGGGAGCAAACAGG